rnacentral:rRNA from 1 species
UACGGGGGGGGCAAGCGUUGUUCGGAAUUACUGGGCGUAAAGGGCUCGUAGGCGGCCAACUAAGUCAGACGUGAAAUCCCUCGGCUUAACCGGGGAACUGCAUCUGAUACUGGAUGGCUUGAGUUCGGGAGAGGGAUGCGGAAUUCCAGGUGUAGCGGUGAAAUUCGUAGAUAUUCGCAAGAACACCAGUGGCGAAGGCGGCCAACUGGUCCAUUACUGACGCUGAGGUGCGAAAGCGUGGGGAGCAAACAGG